UGGGGAAUUUUGGACAAUGGGGGAAACCCGUGAUCCAGCCAUCCCGCGUGUGCGAUGAAGGCCUUCGGGUUGUAAAGCACUUUUGGCAGGAAAGAAACGUCGCGGGUUAAUACCCCGCGAAACUGACGGUACCUGCAGAAUAAGCACCGGCUAACUACGUGCCAGCAGCCGCGGUAAUACGUAGGGUGCAAGCGUUAAUCGGAAUUACUGGGCGUAAAGCGUGCGCAGGCGGUUCGGAAAGAAAGAUGUGAAAUCCCAGAGCUUAACUUUGGAACUGCAUUUUUAACUACCGGGCUAGAGUGUGUCAGAGGGAGGUGGAAUUCCGCGUGUAGCAGUGAAAUGCGUAGAUAUGCGGAGGAACACCGAUGGCGAAGGCAGCCUCCUGGGAUAACACUGACGCUCAUGCACGAAAGCGUGGGGAGCAAACAGGAUUAGAUACCCUGGUAGUCCACGCCCCUAAACGAUGUCAACUAGCUGUUGGGGGCC
rnacentral:rRNA from 1 species